AGCUCCAAUAGCGUAUAUUAAAGUUGUUGCGGUUAAAAAGCUCGUAGUUGGAUUUCUUCUGAAUACCGUCGGUCCACCUUUUGGGUGAGUAUCUGAUUGGGGUUCGGAAUCUGCUCAGGAUACGUCUCUGCGCUUGAUUGCGUGGAACGGAAUCUGGGCCUUUUACUUUGAGGAAAUUAGAGUGUUCACGGCAGGCAUACGCCUUGAAUAUAUUAGCAUGGGAUAAUAUUAUAGGAUCUUGGUUCUAUUUUGUUGGUUUCUAGAGCUAAGAUAAUGAUUAAUAGGGACAAUUGGGGGGCAUUCGUAUUAACGCGUCAGAGGUGAAAUUCUUGGAUUGCGUUACGACGAACUACUGCGAAAGCAUUUGCCAAGGAUGUUUUCAUUGAUC
rnacentral:rRNA from 1 species